GCGACCUGGCAUGCGAGCAACAGUGCACCGGAUGUAAUGUGCGUACACGGAGCAUGCUUGUGCCUGCGACUCAACGAACUGCUUCACCGCUAGUCAAGCUGCUGUACCGACCACCUGCCACGAAACCAGCUAGCCUGCCGUUCGCUUCCCGGCCACGGAAGUACUUAUAUAAACAACGUUCUCGCGGCAGCCCCCAACAAGUUUCAUGCUCCAGAGUUGACCAACACAGCGGAAAAGUAGGAUCGCACAGGCGAUCAGGGAGGCGACGAGUUGCGCACCGCCGGUUCCCUCUCUCUCUCCGUCGGCCACUCCGGCGGCGGAAGGGAGGGGGAACCUCGGGUCUGUUCGCUAGGUGAGUGUGUGGUAGGGUUAGGGUUGAGGGAGACGCUGCCGAGGCCGUUGCGAUGGUGUCGCGUCGGAAUAAGUUUCUCCGGGCUUUGUUCGCGGUCAGGCGAGGCUUUGCCUUCGUCUAGGAGCCAGUGAAGUUGGGGAUCCCCGGGUCUCGUCGAGGUUGCGGGCUUUGGUGGCUGGAGGUCCAUCGGCACUGGCCGUUUGAGUUCUCAGAUGGGCGAUGGAUGCAGGGAGACGAUGACCCUUCUUCUUCCUUGUUGGUGUGUUGAAUUGAUGUCCAUACCGUCUCAGCGCUGGUGUCAAGAAAGGAGGAAGCAGCGUGGCGGCAAUGGUACCGUGGUCGAAGAUGAUGACUUGCUUGCGACUGGUUGCAGAUCCUUCUGCUGCAGGGGUCUUCUCUCAAGAUUUAGGGAUGAUGACACAGGGCUCCGGAGAUCUUCUUGUGUUAUGGUUGUCUUAGGGUACUCUAAGUGUUCAUGCUCCUCUGUGUUUGCGUUUCAGUGUGCUUGUAAGGGUCAACUUCUUUGUACUGAUUCGUGAUAUGAAUGAAAAAAUUCGAAAAAAAAAAACAACGUUCUCGCGC